rnacentral:rRNA from 1 species
UACAGAGGGUGCAAACGUUGCUCGGAAUCACUGGGCGUAAAGCGCACGUAGGCGGCUUUCUAAGUCAGGGGUGAAAUCCUGGAGCUCAACUCCAGAACUGCCUUUGAUACUGGAGAGCUUGAGUCCGGGAGAGGUGAGUGGAACUCCGAGUGUAGAGGUGAAAUUCGUAGAUAUUCGGAAGAACACCAGUGGCGAAGGCGGCUCACUGGCCCGGUACUGACGCUGAGGUGCGAAAGCGUGGGGAGCAAACAGG